ACGAGGUUUAACAUUUUCUACAUGAAGGGCAGGGAGAUUAUCAGUCAAUGUGUAUGAUUUAGUGUUGUUUUGUGCUAUAGUAUAGGCUGAAACCUGUGAUUAUCAUCAAAAACAAAAUGCGGUAAUCGUAAGUAUUAACAGGAAUGUUAAAUCUGCAUUUGCAUGAUUUCAGAAACUACUGAGAGGUAUGAAGAGAAAGGAUGACAUCACUAGUUUCUUACACACAAAGAGGAGGGAUCAGGGAGGAAAAGCAGACGUAGUUGCGGAUGGCGAAAGAGGAGAAGGAGCAAGAAGAAGAAGAUCAAGCUGAGCCAGGGCAAGAAGAUGAAACAGAAGAUAAAGAUAAUUGACCAAUGGAUGUGGGAUUCACACUGUCAUGAUGUCGGAGCAACUCAGAUACCACCUUCUCGAAAGUCUUCUGCAUAAAAUAGAAAUGGGAUUCAGCGCGACUCCACUAAAUUUGGAUUACCUGGAGUUCCUUUGUCAUCAGGAGCUGUAUCUUCUGCAGGCCCUGUCUAAUCACAUUGAAGUACCUCCUGCUAUCACCCUGGCUUUGCAAGAGCUCUUUGACCUUGUGAGGGCACAUCUGGAACGUCCAGCCCCAUGUGUCACACAAGAAGUCACUGCCACCAAAGGACGACCCAAGAUUUUGAUUGAAGAACAACGUUUGAAAGAAAUGCUCCAUACACAACUUGCUGUGCCUUGCAUAGCCACACUGAUGGGUGUUUCAAGAAGAACAAUCUUAAGAGGAAUGAAAGAGUAUGAGCUCUGUGUUAGGGACACAUAUAAUUCCAUCCGUGGUGAGGAACUUGACAAUUUGGUUUCUUCUGUCAAGAAUGAUCUACCAAAUGCAGGCUACAAGAUGGUCAGAGGGAGGCUGCAGUCAAUGGGCUACAGGGUUCGGUGGAGAAGAGUUGCAGCCUCCAUGCAUAGGGUUGAUUCCAUGGGCAUCAUAUCAAGGUUGUCAAGUCUUGGCUGUGUUGUACGCAGAAUGUACUCUGUACCAGGGCCCUUGUCUCUGGUACAACGUGGACACAAACCACAAGUUGAUCCGGUUUGUAUUAACAGCAAAUUCAUUUGAAGUUUGUUCAUCUACAGCCCUGGGUGGAUUGGUGUGAGGUGGUGGUGGGGCUUUGGAGAAGAUUUCCUGCCGAUCAACACUGGCAGCUUAUAUCUAUGUGUCAUGGAGGUCUCGGGACUCACAGAUAUUCAGAGACAUGUGGAUAGUUUACCAGUGUUUUUCAGCAGGAAAUAGUUAUUACUACAAAUUGUCACCCCCCCCCCACAGAAACUGGAUCUGGCUAUAGUGGGAAAAUCUUUGUUUUUUUAUUAUUUGUGAGAACUUGACAGCCAUUAAAUUGCUUUCAGCAAAGUAAACAAAACUUGGAAAAAAUAUAUGCUCAUUCACCAGCAGUUUCUAAUCUGGGGUCUAAAGUGGUCAGGCUUGCAAGUGUAUUUGGUUAUUUGUCUAUCCUAGCCUGUUGCAGUGUAUAUUUCCUGUAUAUUUUGCAUAUAAAAAUGUUGUAUGUUAUGUCAGUGCUUAAUAUUAUCAUGUAGUCUUCAUGAACUUUGUUUUAACCCGACUUAAUGGCUUUCUUCAUCUUGGCCAGGGACUGCAUUUGAAAAGUAGCCACUUGACUAAAACUGGCACGUUUUCAGAAAUGCCAGCAACAAUACUGAUAAUGAACACCCCUCUAACUGACUCUCAGUUGGUUUAGAAAAAAGACUUUUAAGAGAAAAGAAAGCCUUCCUUUGGUUUUGCAUUUUUCUCUUUUUUGUUAGCUGUGCACAUCAUAUCAGAAGAAUACAUCACAAUUAAAUUAGUUAAGAAAUAACAGAUUACGUAUAUACAAUAUUAAGGCGAUAACAACAACCCUCACUGUCUCUUGGUGCUGGUUCAGACAGGGCAUUCUGCAGCAGGGACACCACCCGUAAAUCUCCCUAUCACAACAGCCCACACAACAGAAUAACAUUAGCGUUUGAUUCAGUAGGGCUAGUCCGGGUCUGGAAAGCAGUUGGGCCAGAUUUUCAAACCAAGAAAUUUAGCUGGGCCAGACAUUUUCAGCGGCCCAGUAAGCAGCAGGUAAUGGCAUUUUAAACAAACACAAAUCAAGGUACAUUAUUUUAAAAAGAUACAACUGAACAGAAUCUGAGAGCAAUAUUUUUUUUCCACUUCUGCAAUAAGAAAAAUAUUUUGGUCGUAUCUGACCUAGACACAUCUCAAAGUGCAUAAAAAGAAAAAUUGGGGAAAAAAAGGGAAAAACUGGCUAUAAUCAUCAUCCGCUUAUACUGUAGUGAUCCAUUUCACCCACACAGGCAUGAUCACCAUAAGCGGUUUCCACAUUAUUGUCGAGGUGACUAUUCACUUUACCUCUGCUUUCUCCGACAUCUUCCUGAUUCUGCCGCCAACAAGGGGCUCAUAGGGUGGAGACUGAGGGUGUUAAACAGACCAAUCUUACUUUUGUCCCUGAAUGCAACAAAUAAUGUUGUAUUUAUCUGUCAAAAGUCCAGCACCAAGAAAAGCAACAGAGCGAUGAUAGAAACUGCAAUAAUAAUGGAAGUGCGCCGCCCUACAGGGAAGGAGGAGUGAUGGGA